rnacentral:rRNA from 1 species
AUUGAACGCUGGCGGCAUGCCUUACACAUGCAAGUCGAACGGUAACAGGUCUUCGGAUGCUGACGAGUGGCGAACGGGUGAGUAAUACAUCAGAACGUGCCUAGUAGUGGGGGAUAACUACUCGAAAGAGUGGCUAAUACCGCAUGAGAUCUACGGAUGAAAGCAGGGGAUCGCAAGACCUUGUGCUACUAGAGCGGCCGAUGGCAGAUUAGGUAGUUGGUGGGAUAAAAGCUUACCAGGCCGACGAUCUGUAGCUGGUCUGAGAGGACGAUCAGCCACACUGGGACUGAGACACGGCCCAGACUCCUACGGGAGGCAGCAGUGGGGAAUUUUGGACAAUGGGCGCAAGCCUGAUCCAGCAAUGCCGCGUGCAGGAUGAAGGCCUUCGGGUUGUAAACUGCUUUUGUACGGAACGAAAAGCCCUGGGUUAAUACCCUGGGGUCAUGACGGUACCGUAAGAAUAAGCACCGGCUAACUACGUGCCAGCCGCCGCGGUAACAC